rnacentral:rRNA from 1 species
ACGGGCUACACAUGCAGUCGAGCGCGACUUCGGGGUGAGCGGCGGCGGGUUAGUAACGCGUGGGAAUAUACCCUUUGGUACGGAAUAGCCUCUGGAAACGGAGAGUAAUACCGUAUGAGCCCUUCGGGGGAAAGAUUUAUCGCCAAAGGAUUAGCCCGCGUUAGAUUAGGUAGUUGGUGGGGUAAUGGCCUACCAAGCCUACGAUCUAUAGCUGGUUUUAGAGGAUGAUCAGCAACACUGGGACUGAGACACGGCCCAGACUCCUACGGGAGGCAGCAGUGGGGAAUCUUGGACAAUGGGGGCAACCCUGAUCCAGCCAUGCCGCGUGAGUGAUGAAGGCCUUAGGGUCGUAAAGCUCUUUCGCCUGUGAAGAUAAUGACGGUAGCAGGUAAAGAAACCCCGGCUAACUCCGUGCCAGCAGCCGCGGUAAUACGGAGGGGGUUAGCGUUGUUCGGAAUUACUGGGCGUAAAGCGCACGUAGGCGGACUGGAAAGUUGGGGGUGAAAUCCCGGGGCUCAACCCCGGAACUGCCUCCAAAACUAUCAGUCUAGAGUUCGAGAGAGGUGAGUGGAAUUCCGAGUGUAGAGGUGAAAUUCGUAGAUAUUCGGAGGAACACCAGUGGCGAAGGCGGCUCACUGGCUCGAUACUGACGCUGAGGUGCGAAAGUGUGGGGAGCAAACAGGAUUAGAUACCCUGGUAGUCCACACCGUAAACGAUGAAUGCCAGUCGUCGGGUAGCAUGCUAUUCGGUGACACACCUAACGGAUUAAGCAUUCCGCCUGGGGAGUACGGUCGCAAGAUUAAAACUCAAUGUUUGUGGGGGGG